GACGAACGCUGGCGGCGUGCUUAACACAUGCAAGUCGAACGGAAAGGCCCUGCUUUUGUGGGGUGCUCGAGUGGCGAACGGGUGAGUAACACGUGAGUAACCUGCCCUUGACUUUGGGAUAACUUCAGGAAACUGGGGCUAAUACCGGAUAGGAGCUCCUGCUGCAUGGUGGGGGUUGGAAAGUUUCGGCGGUUGGGGAUGGACUCGCGGCUUAUCAGCUUGUUGGUGGGGUAGUGGCUUACCAAGGCUUUGACGGGUAGCCGGCCUGAGAGGGUGACCGGCCACAUUGGGACUGAGAGACGGCCCAGACUCCUACGGGAGGCAGCGGUGGGGAAUAUUGCACAAUGGGCGGGAGCCUGAUGCAGCAACGCCGCGUGCGGGAUGACGGCCUUCGGGUUGUAAACCGCUUUCGCCUGUGACGAAGCGUGAGUGACGGUAAUGGGUAAAGAAGCACCGGCUAACUACGUG
rnacentral:rRNA from 1 species